CCCCCACCAGCUGGAUAUUGCUCGUCCCACUUUUCCUGGAUUCAAGGAGCCCUUGAAUGCAGAGCAACUUGUUGUGGGUCAGGCAAGGUCAUUUCUGCAGACCAGGCAUUCAGACUGGUACUGAAUUUGAAGAACAAUCAACCUGACAGAGUGUAUCAAAAAACAAGCCAACUGUUUGAAUGAGUGUGGUAAUUUUAAUAGUACAUUCGAAAGCUCGACAUGGUAGCCCUGGAAGCAGCUAUUUUGCCAUUCUUGUUUGAUAUGGAGUUGAUUAUGUCAAUUAACAAGCUUAAAAUCCUCCCAGUUCUCCAGGCAAGAAGAGUAUUUGAAUGUUUAUGGCUCUUUUUCAUGCUGUGCCAAACGUGACUUGCUCCAUACAAAAAGCAACUAAUAGAAGAAACCAAAGUGCUGGCUAUAAUCAACAUGAGAUGUGAGGUGUUGAAUGGUGAAUAGCCCAUCUCUAGGGAAAUUUUGGUCUCUCAGGCCUCUUCGAGUUGACUCCACCCCGCAGAUGUUCCUCAGUGGUCCUGUGCCUAGGACAUUGCCCCAACGGCGUUGCUUAGCUCUGCAGUAGCAGUCAGGCUGAGACUUCAAGAUCCUGGCAGCUUCCUCUUCUUGUCUUUUGAAGACUUGAUCUUGGAACACUUUCUCUGGACACCCUAAGUUCUGAGCUGUCACAUUAUAGCACAAAGUACUCUGAGACUGCCAUGCUGGAAAGGCCAUACGUAGGUGCUUCAGCUGACAAUCUUUUCUGUGUCCGGCCUUCCAGUCAUCCUUUCCAAGGUGCCUGACAUGGGAGUGAAGUUAUCUUGGAUUCCCCAGUCUAGCCCAUCUGCCAGCUGAGUGCUAUUGAGUAACCUCCAUCAACACCAAGUGGAGCACAGGCACCGCUCUUCUGAGCCCGGCUCAAUUUCCCAACACACACGAUCAUGAGCUAUAAUAAAAUGGUGGUUGUUUGAGGCCACUAAGUUUGGGGUAAUUUUUUUAUGAAGUGAUAAACAACUGAAACAGAGGGUUUUGACUAGCAGAGACGGGAGCCCACUGGGCUCCCAGUGUUGUGGAUAGAGCUGUGAAGCUGUGAAGGUGCAGAGUCUAUUUCAAGCUUUGAGUUUUGUGGGAAAUCAGAGAACUUGCAGAAAAGUAUAAGGAAAAAAAUAACUGUUGUAUAUGUUUAAAAGCUAAAUAGAGAGUCUGAAUGACAUGUGAAGGUCAUAUAUUCUAUGGUCAAUAAGGUGUAACUAAAAUCCUAUGUAUUUUUUAACUUUUUGUUAUGAAAAAUUUUACAUAUACACAGACAGUAGAACAAUGGUACCCUUAUAUAUGUCACAAUUGGGGGGCAAUGGAUGUAUAAGUGGUUUCCUAGAGAAAGAAUUAUCAAUACUUCGUCAAUCUCUUUCCCUGAAAUAUGUUAAAGCAAAUCCCAGAUACCAUAUCACUUUGUUCAUAAAGACUACAGUGUGUAUCUUGAAAAGAUAAGGGCCUAACCACACCUAAAAAAAAUAAUAGUCUUAAUAUAAAACCCACUCCAUGAUGAAAUGUCUCCUAUCGUAUUUCUUCUUGUGAUUCAUAAUCUAAGCUAGGUCCUACACUGUGUAUAGUUGAUACGCCUCUUAGUUGAUGUGCUAUAUCUCAUGCCUUGCCUACUUCUCCACGCCAUUUAUUUGUCCUGUAGACUUUCCCUCAGUGUGGAUUAGGCUUAGGCUGUUUGCACUCACAUGGUGUGAUGUUAUUUAACAUGCUCCUCUGUCGCCACAUUUCCUGAAGAUUGGAAGUCAGAUUGGGAAGAUUGCUUUGGUCACUGGCAUUCGGAGGUAGGGAACAUCAUGUCAAGGCUAUGUUUAGGAAGGUCAAUCUGACAACUCUGUGGGGUGGGUUGGGAUCAGUCCAAAACAAGGGUCAAUAACUCCUGGCUCAUUAAGCACCUGGCACAAACCAUUUGUGCUCUACUACCAACCUAAAGGCUAGUGGUUCGAAUCCACCCAGCCGUGCUGUAGAAGAGAUCCCUAGUGAUCUGCUUCCAUAAAGAUUACAGCCAAGAAAAUCCCAUGGAGCACAGUUCUACUCUGACACAUGUGAAGCUGCCAUGAGUCAGAAUCCACUCACGGACCACGGACUUUUUGGUUUUGGCAGAGGCUGGUGGGAGGCGGAAGGAGCAGACAGAUGUCAGAGUGCUGUGUAGAUGGAGAGGUUGGCAGGGGAUUUUUGAUAAUGGUAAAAAUUCCUAAUAUUUGUUACGUGCUUACUAUAUUCUAGGCUCUGUGCAUGUUAUCUAUUAACCCAAUAUAAAAACGAACAAACACACAAACCUGUUGCCAUUGAGUUGAUUCUGACUCAUAGCGGCCCUAUAGGGCAGAGUAGAACCGCCCAUAAGGUUUCCAAGGAGCAGCUGGUGGAUUUGAACUGCUAACCUUUUGGUUAGCAGCUGAUCUCUUAACCACUGCACCACCAGGGCUCCAUUAACCCAGUAUACUAGAUAGCAUUUCCCCCAUUUUACAGACCCAGGCCUAGAAAGGACACUGAUUUACCCGCACAGUUAGUUCGUAACACAACAGGAAGUAGAACCCAAAGCCUGUGUUCUUAGCUACUGCAC